CAGUAGCCGCGGUAAUACGGAGGGUGCAAGCGUUAAUCGGAAUUACUGGGCGUAAAGCGCACGCAGGCGGUCUGACAAGUCAGAUGUGAAAUCCCCGGGCUUAACCUGGGAACUGCAUUUGAAACUGUCAGGCCGGAGUCUUGUAGAGGGGGGUGGAAUUCCAGGUGUAGCGGUGAAAUGCGUAGAGAUCUGGAGGAAUACCGGUGGCGAAGGCGGCCCCCUGGACAAAGACUGACGCUCAGGUGCGAAAGCGUGGGGAGCAAACAGGAUUAGAUACCCGUGUAGUCCCUGUCUCUUAUAA
rnacentral:rRNA from 1 species